rnacentral:tRNA from 1 species
GCCUGGGUGGCUUAGUGGUUGAGCGUCUGCCUUCAGUUCAGGUCGUGAUCCCGGGGUCCUGGGAUCGAGUCCCACAUCAGGCU